ACUGCCCCUAGAAGCAUUGCAGGUGUGGCUGCUGUGUCACAUGUGUGUCAGUAGGUGACAGAGAAGACAGAGGCUAUGUUUAUGCUCAAUGUUCUGACUUGUGAACCUAUGAAUUAUUAGUACCCUAACAUU